rnacentral:lncRNA from 1 species
GGCAAUCAGGAUACCUUAUUUGAAAGAAAAAAAUAUAUUAACUGCAUCAUUAUACAACAUUCAAAAAAAAAAUAGAGAAAAAUUAAGCCCAAUAUCAACCUCAACCAAUACAAUUAUGGGGUAAAUCAUAAUCUAGUAAAGAGAAUGAUAACUUGACGAAGUUACAUGAAAAACUCAAGUAACUGACAUAAGCGUUCUUUAUCAAUUUGAGUGAGGCUAUGAUCCCUAUCUUUAAAGAGUUAGCAAGCAAUUGAAGGGGGGGGGGGAGGGGGGAGGGUUGUAAGCAAAGAGAAGUAUUGUAAUAGAAUGCUGGCUCUAAUUCAUAAUUGUUGUAAGAGGAUACAAAGUUACUUCUGUAUGUGCUUGUGGGAAGGCAAUACCCAAGUCAUCUAUCAACUCAUAGUACAUUAUUGUGUAUUGAACCUCUUGUAACAGACUCUCUUUGAGGAUCAAUUGUCCAGUGAUGGCCAUCAAAAAUGAAUUUUAUCUGUACCAAAUGAAGCUCUUGAACAAUAUAAGAUGCAUUCAAACAUCUUUAACACAGAAGAACAGAAAAGCUAUUAGGCAGAGGUAAGAUUGAAUAUUAUAAAUAGAAACUCAUCAAAAGACUCAACUUGCUCACUCCUGGUAGCACAUUCUAAUUUAAGAAAUCCUUUCUAUUUUAUUCCAUCUCAAAACUAAAUCCUUCAAAGUAGCAAGAUUUUGUUAUAAACUAAUACUGUUACAUAGUACUUCAAAUUUUAGGAGACGUUCCUUUUUUAAUAAUUGUUAGAUAAAGCGUGUAAAUAGAAUUAAACUUGUUUGUAAUACAUGAACAAGUGUAUGCAAUAGAGCUAUUCAAGGCUUUUUAGAGCCACUUUAACUAUAUAAUUUUCUUAAUUUUUCAAAAUUAGAAUAAUGAGAAACACACAGAUGAAGAAGGUGGCAAACACACACACUUUUAAAGUCGAUACACUAAUUACCAUAUUGAAUUCUUCAAUAGUGGGAAAUCCUACAAUAUAAAGUUUUGAAAUUUCUAAAUAAAUUCUAAGCAAAAGCAGCAGCAUAGCUCAUGAUUCUGGCGAUAAUUAUCGAUUUAUCACAAUAUAGAUAGAAAAAUCAUCUUAAUACUUCUUAACUAUAAAAACAUCUUUCGUGAAAUAGAAAUUGAAAGCUAGCAUAGAGAUCUGCAGCUUUUACAAAAAAAAUUAAAUAAAAAAGAAAGACAACCUUGCAUCUACGGAAUCAUGGAACAAAUCUGGCUCAUCACAGAAGCUACAUAUCAAAAAUAGGAAAAUUAUAUCAAUUACCCAAACGAUCAAAAAGAAAAAAACUCACCCCCUCCUUCCCGAAAAAAAAUAUACAACAAACUAAAUAUUAGCACAAAUCUCAGAAGCAUAAGUGUAUAACACAUUUUCAAGAAAAAAAGGGUUCUCACCAGUCACUAGAAAAUCUAAGUGAUCUACAACCACAUAAAUUACCUUAUGAUUACUUUGUCAAACACCUCCAAAUUAGAUAAAUUUUAAAAAUGAUUGAGAUUUUUUCAACUUCUGCAAUAUCUAACAAGUCUUCAUGUAAGAGGAUGGUUCGAGAUAUAGAAUUUAUAAAAAAUUUUAAAAAGAUAGACCAUCCUUUUAUUUGGGUAUUUAUCAAGAAUAAAAUAUUGUAAAGGCUUCC